UUCUUGCUGCGGUUGUCCCACCUGAUGACGGUUGCUUGUGUUACGAUCGAAAUGUCGUGAUCUAUUAUUUUUUAACUCACAAUUAAGUUAUCGUGCGUCUUGAUUUCAUGCGCAUGCCAGUAAGCAAACAAUCCUGGUGUUCAGUAACAAAUCGCAGUGGCGCUACUAGAUUUCACGCGAGGUAUUUUUUUCGAAAUAUAUAUUUUUUAUUCGUAACAAUGUUUUUUGGCAUUUUUGCUUAAUUGUUGGAAUAUUUUUUUAAAGAAUUUUCUUAACAUUUUUUAAACAUGUUUUAAUCUGUUGAAUCGGGGCCCCCCUGUUGCCGACUUUGCCCCUAUGUGUCGCAUAACGCUGCCACGUACCCCCAACCAUGCAGCGCCCCUGGGUGCACAACGCGCGAGUCUACGCUCGGUAGCUUAUCGUCUUAAUUGGCAGUAAACACGCGCGCAUGAAAAACGACAGUGCAAUAAAUGUAAGUGUGGUGGGGGGGGAUAUAGACGGCACAAUUCGGUUGCCCGACAACACAAGCUGCGACAACAACAAAAAUCCGCAACCCCAUGAGCCAAUUCUUCGAUUUACGCCUCAAUUUUCGCAAUUACGUCGCGUUUUACAAACGCUUUUUUCGCGUGGUCUUGUCUCCUUGAGGCCACCGUAAUUAUUACCCGGAAGUGACGUGCCCGUCAGCGCGGAGUGAGAGGACCUUGCAGCGAUUGUCAGACGGCUAAAAGAGGACAGCUACACAUGCCAAGACCCGUUCGAGACUGAACGUGGACAGCUGCUGGUGCUGGGCUCUAACUGCUCGCUGUGUCAACGUGUUGUGUGCACGAGCCAGGACUGCAGUCUUUUCUACACGAGGCG